rnacentral:lncRNA from 1 species
CCUUUGUCACCGAGUCACGGGCAAAACCGUAUGCUAAGAAAAAGUAUGUGAUUCUUAGCUCAUGCUUCUAGAACCGGCAUCCUGCACUCGACCUUGAGCUAGAUCUCUCGUAGAAAGGGCCUGAUGGCUGUAGUCUGUGAUGUGUUGAGGUGUUUGAUAGAAUGCCGGAGCCGAAGGUGAAGGUUGAUUCGGCCGCAUUCCGUUCUUUCAUAUGUGGUUUGUAGCAGAGUGGCGAGUUUGGGAAAACACAGAAGCUCGUUGAUAAAUUAUUGGAAGAGGAUGGUGUUGAAGUUGCGAUGAAGCGGGAGCCUAAGCCGCGGAUGGUGAGUGCAGGCCACGAAAGCGGAGCAAGGCGAUGAAGCGGGAGGUGUCGAGUUGAUUGUUACGUCGAGAUGAGACCACGGCAUCGAUGGGGGCCGAGACGGUGAUCGAGGCUGCACUGCUGCAGCGUCAGGAGGCGAGGUUGGGGCGGCAGUCGAGGCUGCGAUCGUGCUGUGGCAUCGGUGCUGUUGUGGCAUGGAGGCAAGUCCGUGGUGUCGUUGGAGGCCGCGAUGGUGUUGCUGCUCGAUGAAUUGCUUGAGAGAGAAUAGGUUGCGUGGCGUGGAACGCUUCAUAACUGGGAAGAUGGCAAUGGUGCAGCGGGCGGCCCAGGUUCUGUCCUCCUCAAUUGUUUUCCCCUUUUUUUUUCUUGCUUUCUUUCGGCCGUGGCGUGUACUUCAUCUCAUUUAUCAAUAAAGUAUUAUGUGAUUUCUACCAUUUUGCUAAAAAAAUUAUAUGCACCCAGAGGACUGUCAAAGAUGAUAAAGGGUGCCAGCAGUCUGAAACCAGCUGCAGCGAAUCCUACCUGAAACCGUGCUGCCGACGCAAUGUGGGGUCGUGCUGCCGACGCAAUGUGGGGUUCUUCUUCACAUGUCAAAGUCAUGGGGCCGUCGGAUAUGAUCCAAGGGCCGAUCGCAUAGGUUGUUUUCUAUCAUAGUAGCGGUACUCUGUAUAAAACCCUCAAAGCUGGGUAUGAUGCAACCCACGGGAUGUUUUGUUGAAAAGAAUUGGAAUCUGAAAUAGAAAUA